ensembl:lincRNA
CAUGAACAAGUGCCCCCACACCCGUUCACUUGGGCAGGCAAGAAUUCUGCCACCGGACAACCGACGCCCGGCCACUUUGGAAUGCGCUUUCACACCCUCUCAGCCCCUCGGAGGAAAGAGCCUUCUGGGAGCUCUCUGCAUUUGAGGUGUGGCACAGUCACCGUCACCAGGGACGUAACGGGAUCACAACGGUCCUGGUCCAAUUCUCCCUCCAGAGAGCGCCUCAUCAGGGACGCUGGCCUAAAUCCAUGCACAGGUCCUGGAUAACGGAACUGAUGGUCUGGACAGGGCAGGACCCUGCACCUGGAGGUGACCCACGAGCAGUUCCUGCCCAUGGAUGGGCAAUAGUGGGCAUCUGAGUGAAGGUGGCCAGGAAGCGACCGUGUUGGGAGAUGAAUUGUCCCCGUUUCUCUCACACAGGUAAGUAUGCCAGUCUGCACUCAGAGACCCAAAGGGCAAAGCUCUGGAGGACUCAGCAAGUGCUGUCACCUUGAGGAUGUCCUCAGCAGCACGGUCAUCACAGCCCACCUUGCCGGACCCCUCUGGGGCCCCCAGGAGCCCCAGAACUUCAACUGAAGGUCACUGCUUGGCCUGCUCACAGCGCCCCUGGGCGCCUCUCUGAUUACUCCCAGGGCCCGGCGAGGAUGGCCGUGUGCGGCACAUUGUCCUGUUCUCCCCACGGCCACCUGCUCUAAGCCCAGGGGUAGCGUGGGCCCGGAGCCUGGCAGCCUGGCUUCAUCAGAUGCCUUUUCCUGGCCCACCCGCUGCCAGCCCCUCUUGGAUUCAGGUCUUAAAGGCCCUGGGCAGCUGUUGCUGGUAUCAGGGAGUGAAGUCCUCUCUCAGCCAUUCAUUCCAUGGAAUUGGACCCAUCUGGUUGGACCGCUGCUCCGCACCAUUCAUCAUCUCUGCGGUCAACAACAUCUGCCCAACCCCCGCGGAUCGCCCAAUGUCUUGGCGAAUGAAUGAACCCGGGAUCGGGAGUGCCCAGCACCAAAUCCAUGGGGCAGACACUCUGGCCACCAGAAGCUUCCAGACAUCGCUGGCCACCUCAGUCCAACAUCAAGCUGGACAGAAACUUGGGAAGAGGCUGGAUUUUCUUCCAGGACCCAGGCAUCAUUUUUGCCAUCUACAAAAAUACACUUCACUAUAUUUAGGCAGUGCUACGAAUGGGCCUCCCCCACACCCCCUCUUUCACCCCAGCUCAAGAAUGUUUCUCCGUUUGUUUUUGUCAUUUAAUAUUUUUUUCCUACCACCUGGAGAAGUCAUCAAGCACUCACAUUCCCCAACCCACUUUGCCUACUGCUUGUGAAUUAAAAUAUGCCCCCGCACCCCCGCCAAAAUACGACCUUGGAGCAGAAUGCGGGCGUCAGUGGAAAGUACUGGUGCUCUUUUUCACCGCCUCUGGAAGCGUGGUGCUGUAUUUCUGGGCAUCUGCUCUGUGCCAGACCCCACACUCACUGUCACACACACCUCGGCUCAUCCCGGCUCCUGCCCACCAUGCCUGUGAUGACCGCAAGCGACGUCAAGCCACGCCACCGGAUGACAAGCUGCUGGCUGUCCCCCUGGCCCGUCGCUUGGGGCGAGGGAAGUGAUGGUCCAAACUGGGUUUGUUUGACUCUGUUCUGGGUCAGGCGGGAGUCUAGAUGGCCUCCAGCGUGGUGCUCAGGACAUGGCGGAGGAGAAAUGCUUUGGGGUGUUGGCCUCUGAGGGCCUGUGGGUUUUACUGUCAUGGCAGGGUUUCCUCAGCAGGUCCCUCAUCAGGGGCUUAAGGAGGGGACUGCCCUCCUACUAUGCCCUUCCCCCUCAACUUCACACCAGGACAUCUCCUAGCUUCAGCCCUCACUCAAAACGGAGGUGAAAGCCGGGCGUGGUGGUGCACGCCUAUAAUCUCAGCACUCCUGAGGCUGAGGCAGGAGGAUUGCUGUGAGCUCCAGGCCAGCCUGGACUACCUAAUGAGAGCAAGGCCAGCCUGAACUACAAAGCAAGAUCCUGUCUCAAAAAAUAAAUGAAUAAAAUUUAAAAUACAUAAAUAAGUGG